rnacentral:rRNA from 1 species
ACGAACGCUGGCGGCGUGCUUAACACAUGCAAGUCGAACGGAAAGGCCUGCUUUCCCUUGUGGAUUGCGGGUACUCGAGUGGCGAACGGGUGAGUAACACGUGAGUGAUCUGCCCCCAACUUGGGUAUAAGCCUGGGAAACUGGGUCUAAUUCCCGAUAGGACUGCAGGGUGGUGCCUGUGGUGGAAAACGAUUUUCUAGUGGUUGGGGAUGAGCUCGCGGCCUAUCAGCUUGUUGGUGGGGUAAUGGCCUACCAAGGCGGCGACGGGUAGCCGGCCUGAGAGGGUGGACGGCCACAUUGGGACUGAGGUACGGCCCAGACUCCUACGGGAGGCAGCAGUGGGGAAUAUUGCACAAUGGGCGGAAGCCUGAUGCAGCGACGCCGCGUGGGGGAUGACGGCCUUCGGGUUGUAAACUCCUUUCGACCGCGAGGAAGCCACCUGGUUGGAAGGGUGGUGACGGUAGUGGUAGAAGAAGCACCGGCUAACUACGUG